GUGGGGAAUAUUGCACAAUGGGCGAAAGCCUGAUGCAGCAACGCCGCGUGAGUGAUGAAGGCCUUCGGGUUGUAAAGCUCUGUCUUCUGGGACGAUAAUGACGGUACCAGAGGAGGAAGCCACGGCUAACUACGUGCCGGCAGCCGCGGUAAUACGUAGGUGGCAAGCGUUGUCCGGAUUUACUGGGCGUAAAGGAUGCGUAGGCGGAUACUUAAGUCAGAUGUGAAAAUCCCGGGCUUAACUUGGGAACUGCAUUUGAAACUGGGUAUCUAGAGUGCGGGAGAGGAAAGUGGAAUUCCUAGUGUAGCGGUGAAAUGCGUAGAGAUUAGGAAGAACACCAGUGGCGAAGGCGACUUUCUGGACCGUAACUGACGCUGAGGCAUGAAAGCGUGGGGAGCAAACA
rnacentral:rRNA from 1 species